rnacentral:misc_RNA from 1 species
AAGUCGUAACAAGGUUUCCGUAGGUGAACCUGCGGAAGGAUCAUUAUCGUAGGGCUCACGCCCUGUCGAGAUAGCGUCCUUGCCUUUUUUAAGCACCGUAUGUUUCCUCAGCAGGCUUGCCUGCUACUGGGGACCCCAAAACUCUUUGUAAAUACAGCAAUCGUCUGAACAACAAACAAAAAUCAAAACUUUCAACAAUGGAUCUCUUGGUUCUG